CACGUAGGGUGCGAGCGUUGUCCGGAAUUCUUGGGCGUACAGAGCUCGUAGGCGGUGUGUCGCGUCGGCCGUGAAAACCUGCAGCUUAACUGUGGGCGUGCGGUCGAUACGGGCAUCACUGGAGUUCGGCAGGGGAGACUGGAAUUCCUGGUGUAGCGGUGAAAUGCGCAGAUAUCAGGAGGAACACCGGUGGCGAAGGCGGGUCUCUGGGCCGAUACUGACGCUGAGGAGCGAAAGCGUGGGGAGCGAACAGG
rnacentral:rRNA from 1 species